UGCCUACGGGGGGCAGCAGUGGGGGAUAUUGCACAAUGGGGGGAACCCUGAUGCAGCGACGCCGCGUGGGUGAAGGAGCGUUUCGGCGCGUAAAGCCCUAUCGGCAGGGAAGAAGAUGACGGUACCUGACCAAGAAGCCCCGGCUAACUACGUGCCAGCAGCCGCGGUAAUACGUAGGGGGCAAGCGUUAUCCGGAUUUACUGGGUGUAAAGGGAGCGUAGACGGCCAGACAAGUCUGAAGGGAAAAUCCGGCGCUUAACGUUGGAAGUGCUUUGGAAACUGCCGGGCUA
rnacentral:rRNA from 1 species